rnacentral:tRNA from 1 species
CUUGCCCUGGCCCGGCCGAGGCUGCACGUCGAUGAUGUGCGCAAGACGCUUGUCGACGUUCCACAGGGUGUUCGGGUCGCCGGUCAGGCC